CGGAUGAACGCUGGCGGCAUGCCUUACACAUGCAAGUCGAACGGUAACAGGUCUUCGGAUGCUGACGAGUGGCGAACGGGUGAGUAAUACAUCGGAACGUGCCCGAUCGUGGGGGAUAACGCAGCGAAGGCUGUGCUAAUACCGCAUACGAUCUACGGAUGAAAGCGGGGGAUCGCAAGACCUCGCGCGGACGGAGCGGCCGAUGGCAGAUUAGGUAGUUGGUGGGAUAAAAGCUUACCAAGCCGACGAUCUGUAGCUGGUCUGAGAGGACGACCAGCCACACUGGGACUGAGACACGGCCCAGACUCCUACGGGAGGCAGCAGUGGGGAAUUUUGGACAAUGGGGGAAACCCUGAUCCAGCCAUGCCGCGUGCAGGAUGAAGGCCUUCGGGUUGUAAACUGCUUUUGUACGGAACGAAAAGGUCCUUUCUAAUAAAGAGGGCUCAUGACGGUACCGUAAGAAUAAGCACCGGCUAACUACGUG
rnacentral:rRNA from 1 species